AAAUGUCAAAUCGAAGUCUAUCCAAAAAUCAUUCCUGAAAAAUAAAAUUAAUUUCAUAUUCUCUCUAAUCAUAUUCCUGUCACAUGCACAUAAAAUAUUCUAGCCCAUGAAACUUUUGAAAAGAGCAUGUACCAUUUCACAUUUUAGUUUGGAGAUUUAUUGAAAAAUAACAUUUUAUUUAGAAUGAAUAGAUUAUGACAGAUUAACAAGUGUCAAAAUGAUAUUUAUGUAUUUAUUUGAAUAGUCUAGUAUCAUAUACAUAAUUAAUUCUUCAUCUUUCAGAUACUGAAGAGAGUAAUGAGUGAGAACAACAUUAAAAAUAUAAAGUAUUUUCUUAAAAAAAAAAAACUUUGUUCUUUCCUCUAAAAACUGUCAAAUGGUAACAGCCCUACUUUCACGCCAGGAAAACCCACUGUUGAGUUAGUUGGCUCUGAUUCCAAUGGUCUCAUCAGCUUUCUGAACGUAGGUACCUCAGCAGUGCCUCUUCCAAGAUAACAAAAUGAACUUUUAGAGAUUAAAAAAAUACAUUUUGGCAAUUGAAACUCACCAGCGCCUUUCUGCUUCUCCAGGAAGUUGUACCCGUCAGCACCUGCUGAGGGCUUUGUUGUCCAAACUCUGACAGGUAAAAAAAUUCCUGUAGAAUAAAGCCAGACCAGCUGGCUUUGAAGAGAAACCCCCCAGUUUGGGCUGCGUUUGUCUCCUCUCCUUUUCUAUGAAGACCCAGGCUUUCCCCCCUUGAUCGUCAAGCCGUAAGAUGCGUGAUCCCUGUGCACAAGUGUCUGGCAGGCCGAGGUGCACCUGUUCCUGUCACUCUGGAGUAAAUUUAGCUGUAAAGGUAUCACUGACAACCAGACCUUUGUCAGAGCUGGCAAAAGAACACAGAACUGCUGCCCUCCCCCACCCCUUCCAAACCCCUUCGCUGCUCGUUCAAAUGGAAAAUGUCAAAUCGGAAGUCUAUCCAAAAAUCAUUCCUGAAAAAAUGAGAUUGCUUUCAUAUGGUAAAAAGGCACCACUUUCAGAUAAAAACAUAGACCUGAAUGGCAUCAUCCAGUAUCCAAGGAAACCAUGUAGGUGUGUGCUUGGUGUCUACACAGAUGCUUGGACACAGAGAAGCAAAAUAUGGAGAGAUGGGGUCCGCACCUCAGGCUGAGUGUUCACCUUCUCUGGAACGAGAAACUGUCACCGCUAAGGAAUACUGUCACCGCUAAAGAACACCACACUGUCCAGUAUGGGGGCUGAUCAGAGAGACUGUUCAUGUAAGACUGAAUCUUACAAGCAGUGAUGCCACAGGCACGCCUACAGGAGCGUCCCCAGGCACGCGCAUGUCUCACAAUACCCUGUCCUAUCUCUUUCUCUUUACUUUGUCAUCAUUUGUUUUUUAUUCUCACUGCUUCUCAUAAAAAAGCCUUUCUGCAUACCUUGCAAUUGUUUCACGAUUCUGCAGUUUUCAUCUAGACCCUUACACAUUCUGGGAAUGGAGUGCUUGCACGGCGAACAUAGUAAUCACAAAUGAAUGCCAUUCUGUGCCUUGGUUAGAUGGGAUGACUCAUAAAGCGGAGUGCUUUUAAGAAGCACUUGCAGAUGAAAGACUGGCUGUGUGAAAGUGUUAGUUGCUCUGUCAUGUCCUUUGAGACCCCAUGGACGGUAGCCUGUCAGGCUCCUCCGUCCAUGGAAAUUCUCCAGGCCAGAAUACUGGAGUGGGUUGCCAUUCCCUUCUCCAGGGAAAUCCUCCCAACCCAGAGAUCGAACCUGGGUCUCCCGCACUACAGGCAGAUUCUUUACUAUCUGAGCCACCAGGAAGCUAUAGGAAUAGCAAACAACUGUGUCAGUGUGAGGCCUGACACAGACUCCAGAAGUUGUCAGGCUUAGUUUAUAAAGAAACUAAGUUUUCUUUAGUUAGUUUUUAAGAAACUAAGUUUUAAUAAGUUUUCUUUAUUUAGUUUUUAGUUUAUAAAGAAAAAAGUGGACUUCAGGUUAAUUUUAUGUGAUUGUAAUAGUGUUCCAAGAGAAUGUAAGAUAAUUUUCUGUCUUGUCUGCCUAUACUCCAUAGGGAAUAAUAAUCAUGGAAACAUUAUUUUUUCCUUUUUAUUAAAUACAAUUUAUAUUUAGCUUAUUAAAUACAAUUUAAUAAAAACUUGCUGUUUAGAAAAACUACUAAAUAUAAAUUUUAUUGGCCUGAUUUGUUUUACAGAAAUACUGUCAAUCCAAUAGAACUGAAAGAGAUCAGAAUAUUCUUACAUGCACUCUGAACCUAAGAUUCUCCAGUAAAUCAGAGUCAGGCUCCAUAAAAACCACUACGCAAACUAGGUCACAGAUAACAAGGUAGCAAUUAAAAUGCCUGCAUCAAUUAUUUGGUUAAGUUAUUUCCUAAUAUUUCACUCUGUAGGAUGUUUUAUAUAGGACCCCCAUUUCAUACUCUGUUUUAAAGAGAAAACUAUUUUUUAACAUUAAAAAAAAACUAUUUAUAGAAUCAUUUAAAAUAUGAUGAAUGGAAAAAGAGUACUCAUUAAAAAAGAGGUGGGGGGAAUUACCAGAGAACUCUCAUUUAGAAAUCUCUUCAACUAAAUUAUAGUUGAUGUGGUAAAGAACAAAUUUAAUAUGUUGCUUACAGAAUAUAAUUUGAAACAUUCUAGUUUUUAUUCUCACUGCUUCUCAUAAAAAGCCUUUCUGCAUACCUUGCAAUUGUUUCACGAUUCUGCAGUUUUCAUCUAGACCCUUACACAUUCUGGGAAUGGAGUGCUUGCACGGCGAACAUAGUAAUCACAAAUGAAUGCCAUUCUGUGCCUUGGUUAGAUGGGAUGACUCAUAAAGCGGAGUGCUUUUAAGAAGCACUUGCAGAUGAAAGACUGGCUGUGUGAAAGUGUUAGUUGCUCUGUCAUGUCCUUUGAGACCCCAUGGACGGUAGCCUGUCAGGCUCCUCCGUCCAUGGAAAUUCUCCAGGCCAGAAUACUGGAGUGGGUUGCCAUUCCCUUCUCCAGGGAAAUCCUCCCAACCCAGAGAUCGAACCUGGGUCUCCCGCACUACAGGCAGAUUCUUUACUAUCUGAGCCACCAGGGAAGCUAUAGGGAAUAGCAAACAACUGUGUCAGUGUGAGGCCUGACACAGACUCCAGAAGUUGUCAGGCUUAGUUUAUAAAGAAACUAAGUUUUCUUUAGUUAGUUUUUAAGAAACUAAGUUUUAAUAAGUUUUCUUUAUUUAGUUUUAGUUUAUAAAGAAAAAGUGGACUUCAGGUUAAUUUUAUGUGAUUGUAAUAGUGUUCCAAGAGAAUGUAAGAUAAUUUUCUGUCUUGUCUGCCUAUACUCCAUAGGGAAUAAUAAUCAUGGAAACAUUAUUUUUUCCUUUUUAUUAAAUACAAUUUAUAUUUAGCUUAUUAAAUACAAUUUAAUAAAAACUUGCUGUUUAGAAAAACUACUAAAUAUAAAUUUUAUUGGCCUGAUUUGUUUUUACAGAAAUACUGUCAAUCCAAUAGAACUGAAAGAGAUCAGAAUAUUCUUACAUGCACUCUGAACCUAAGAUUCUCCAGUAAAUCAGAGUCAGGCUCCAUAAAAACCACUACGCAAACUAGGUCACAGAUAACAAGGUAGCAAUUAAAAUGCCUGCAUCAAUUAUUUGGUUAAGUUAUUUCCUAAUAUUUCACUCUGUAGGAUGUUUUAUAUAGGACCCCCAUUUCAUACUCUG
ensembl:lncRNA